CGCGGUAAUUCCAGCUCCAAUAGCGUAUACUAAAGUGUUGCAGUUAAAAAGCUCGUUUUUGUUUUUCUGGCGGGGACGGCUGGUCGGUCUCGAAAGGGGCUGUACUGUUGUUGGUUCCCGUCAUCCUUGGGGAGAGCGGCUCUUACAUUAAGUUGUCGGCGUCGGGAUCCCUAUCUUUUACUGUGAAAAAAUUAGAGUGUUCAAAGCAGGCUUAGGCCCUGAAUACAUUAGCAUGGAAUAAUAAGAUACGACCUUGGUGGUCUAUUUUGUUGGUUUGCACGCCAAGGUAAUGAUUAAUAGGGAUAGUUGGGGGUAUUCGUAUUCAAUUGUCAGAGGUGAAAUUCUUGGAUUUAUGGAAGACGAACUACUGCGAAAGCAUUUACCAAGGAUGUUUUCAUUAAUCAAGAACGAAAGUUAGGGGAUCGAAGAUGAUUAGAUACCAUCGUAGUCUUAACCAUAAACUAUGCCGACUAGGGAUCGGUGGGUGCAUUUUUAGGCCUCAUCGGCACCUUAUGAGAGAUCAAGGUCUUUGGGUUCCGGGGGGAGUAUGGUCGCAAGGCUGAAACUUAAAGAAAUUGACGG
rnacentral:rRNA from 1 species